AUGGUUGGCGCAUACUCUGGUGUGAAGGUGGGACUCCGCGAAGACGUCGCACAGUACCUGGAAUUGUGUAUUGUGCACAACCUUGUGCUGAGACAACGGAAAACCGCCAUCUUAUUGCUCACUCAAUGCCUCCAUAACACCAAUUUUUCACUCCCGGGCUUUGCAGCAGCCCGGUGUACUUUCCAUAAUACGCCUAUUACACAGGCAUCCUCACUAGCCAUCGCUUACACAAUUACCCGUGUGAUUUUCUCCAUCCCGGCGUGGUUGCCAUCGUCUUCGGUCCCCACCCAGUAUAACUUCGGGCGCCUGCAUCACGGGUGCCCUAAAAAAAUAGGAGACGCGUUCCCCUCCUCCCAGGUUUCUGGUUUCUCCACCCAGUCUCCCCACCGUCCUCCACUCCUCGCACCCCAGCCCUUCCGGCCUCCACCCAGACCGGGGAGAAGCGGGCCUGACAUUCCAGGUAGUUACAGAAAACUUAUUAUCCUGAUGCUGAGAAGCAAACACUUUAAGAGGAAGUCAGGCUGACUUGUGAUGAAAGAUGAUGGAGACAAAUCCUAAACAGGGCUUCCUGUUUGUUUAAACCUCCAACCCAAGAGAAAAUCACUUCCAGUUUCCCUGGUACAAUCAUGGUAAUAUAUUUUCUUUUUAGAUUGUUAGCAGACUGUUUCGCUUGUACUUGGCAUUUCAAUCAUAGUGAAAGAGGUGAAACCCAAAAGACUCAGUGAAUUCUCGUUAUAAAUCUAAAAUCAGAUGGCCUUAACAAUUAACCUCUGCUUCUUGUCCCUUUCUCAUUCCUAACAUAUUAGUCAUUAAUUCAUAUGUAUUGAUUAUCUGCUCUGUGGACAGGUUUGAAAUAGCUACUAAGAUGUAUAUAAAAGAAGCUAAAGCUUCUGUCCUCAGAGCUCAUGCUUACAAAAAUAAUCAUGUUGGAAUAUAGAUAUAAAUUUAAAUUUAAAGGUGGUAACUCCUCUGAAAGAAUGAUUAGAUUAUUCUCCUUGUAAGAUGAGUGCUUGUGCAAAGUGAGAUUUUUAAUUUUGUAAAUGAUCUUUUGAAAACAAAACAGUAGGAAAGAAAAGAAGUUGGGGAAGAGUAUAAACAUAUUUUGGAGGAAGACUUAGUUGUUUUUCUUAUUAUCCUGGGACAUCCAAAUCACAUUUAGGCAGGGGAUUAAAAAAUAGGAAAUUGACCUCAGCAUUAUUUCUACAGGAAAAAAUUUAUUUAAAGUUAGCUAAAGAUCAUUAUUAUAUCUUAGGAACAUAUUUGACUGUUACUAAUUUUUUCUAAUAUUCUUUACAUUAUAAACUUUAUUAUCAGUAUUAAACAUUUUUUUUAAAAAGGGAGGAAUGGCAAGAUUUGACACCUAGAACAAUUGAUUAUUAGAAGAUGAAAUCAUGCUAAAAUAGUAAUGUAAGUUCUGUGAAUAAUACAAAUGGUCAUGAUACUUUUAAUGUGAAUUACCCUAACUCAUGCUAAUUGCUGGGCUUUCCUGGUGCCUUAGACGGUAAAGAAUCCACCUGCAAUGCAG
rnacentral:lncRNA from 1 species